rnacentral:rRNA from 1 species
UACAGAGGGUGCAAGCGUGGUUCGGAAUCAUUGGGCGUAAAGGGCGUGUAGGCGGUUUGUUAAGUCAUGUGUGAAAUCCCUCGGCUCAACCGGGGAACGACGCAUGAAACUGACAAGCUAGAGUACCAAAGAGGGGGGUGGAAUUCCCGGUGUAGCGGUGAAAUGCGCAGAUAUCAGGAAGAACACCGAUGGCGAAGGCAGCCCCCUGGGUCGACACUGACGCUCAUGCACGAAAGCGUGGGGAGCAAACAGG